CUACAAAGAGAAUAACUGGGUGCACUCUUCCCACCUUGGAUCAAAUCUAUUCUUCCAAGUGCCAUAAGAAAGCUGCAGAGAUAGCGCAGGAUAGUGCGCACCCCGGAAAUGAUCUCUUUCAGCUUCUGCCUUCUGGAAUAAGACAUUGAAGUACAUAUGGAGAAAGAAAAGCAAGCAACUCACAGGAAACUAGUGUUUACAGGCAUGUUCCUUUGAGGAAAACUAAACUGGCCAGCAGCACAAGAAGAUCCACCUGCAUUAUCAGUUACAAGAGGUUGGAUUCCAAGUUCCGUAAGUGGAAUCUGCCCAUGGAAUUGACUUUUCCACCUCCUUCCCCUCUAACUUGAGUCCCUUACCCACCAUAAAACCCGCCGUGAUAUGUUCUUCUUUGUGGGGAGGGGACUCCCAUAGUAUAGAAUGUGGUACUUGGGGAUGGGGAAGGUGGUGGUGAAAUUUGAGCAACUCAAAGCCCCCUGGGCAAAGUGUCUACGCUGAGCAAAACUUAGGUUGGACACAAUGCUCCUUCUUUGGCAAAGCUUUGGACCCAGCACUCAGACAAACCAAUGCACUGCAGAGGGGGAAAGCAAGCUGCUUGAGGGGUUUCUUGAGCAAUGCCCACCUUUGUAUGCUGCUGCUGGAAGAGGUGGUAGUGGAUAGGCUCCACCGUGGCGUCUGAUUGUACAAGCGGAGCUCCUGCAGGCUGCCCACCAAAUUCUUCAGCCGUUUCAGCUGCUGGUCAAUGAUCUCCCGGUUAUUGGUGAGGGCAUUGAAGAGAGUCUCGCGCUCAGGUACCAGUAAGUGCCUAUUUGGAAAAGGAAAAACCAGAAACCAAAUUUCAACAGGGAGAGAAAGAGAGAGGCAAAAGAACAGAGAAAAAUACAACAAAACAAUGCAAACAUUUAAAGAAUGUCAUAUAUUAAAACAGUUAAAGCACAAACGCAGAUUGUAAAUGGUAGGUCAGAGAAUAACGCUUCAAAUCUCUGCAGAUGGAGACCGCAGGAAGGGAGUGCUCGUGUCCUUGAAUGCUGCUUACUGGUUUUCUACAGCCAUCUGGUCGGCCACCGUGAGAACAGGAUGGACCAUUGGCAUAAACCAGAAGGGCUUUUCUUAUAAGAACUGGGGUUUUGUUUCGUUUUAUGAUACCAUCAAAUUGUAGAACUGAGGAAUUGGAAGGGACCCAGAGGGUCAUCUGGUCCAACUCCCUGCAAUGCAAGAAUCUCAACCCAGUCAGUUCCCUCGCCCAACUUGAAACCUGAAACUGGACUCUGCUUAGCUUUGAAAAUGUGCCAGCAGUUUUACUGCUGCACCAACUGGCAUUUGUUAUCAUGCUAGAUAUUUGUGUUUUUAUGUUGCAAACCGCACUAUGAUAUUUGAAGACACUUGGCUUUUUGAGUAUCACUUAGCUAAGAAGUAAGCUUGAAAACUCACUUCUGCUUUUUUUGCUGUUCCAGGUGCCGAUCCCACUCCAAAUCCAGGACAUCAUUCACAUCCUGAACAGCAAAUUUCACGUACUGGUGUAAGCGCCGGAUUUCCUGCCCAGAAAAAAGAAGGCGGGGAAUUUAGAAUCAUUUUUAAUCCACUCAGGACACUAUACAAGUGUGUGUGUGUGGUGUGUGUGGGUGUGUGUGUGUGUGUGUGGUUUGUUUCCGAAAUUAUUAAGAUUAUCAAGAGUUUACAACCAUACUGAUUUGGUUUCCUUCUGUGGUUAAUAACAGACUGUGAUCUAUCUAGAUUUCAAUGAGGCUUCCAGCACCCAGUUGAGGAAAGGUGGGGCAGGAUGCAUAAAUAACCAAAGAAUCAGUGCAAACAACCUUAGAGAAGGCAUUUAUUUAAAAGCAUUUCUAUCUUCUCUGACCCGGCUUUAGCCUUAUUGGUGACUGGGCAGCCCAAGGAUACUAAAAUAGUCCAAUCAGAAACUUGUAGCUUCACAUCUGGAACUAGCUAAUCACUGGAAGACCUUGGAGCUCUUGGAGAAAGGCAGGUUGGCUGGGAUUUGGGAAAAGGCAUUGUUAGAGGGCUUGACGUACCAUAGUAGAGUACAAAGCAGUUUGCAGAAAUAAAGGAUGAAUUUGAGAAAAUCA